rnacentral:rRNA from 1 species
AGAGUUUGAUCCUGGCUCAGGAUGAACGCUAGCUACAGGCUUAACACAUGCAAGUCGAGGGGCAGCAUGAUCAAAGCUUGCUUUGAUUGAUGGCGACCGGCGCACGGGUGAGUAACGCGUAUCCAACCUUCCCUAUAGUAGUGGAUAGCCCGGCGAAAGUCGGAUUAAUACACUAUGUUAUUCAACGAGGACAUCUGAAAUGAAUCAAAGGUUUACCGCUAUAGGAUGGGGAUGCGUCUGAUUAGAUAGUAGGCGGGGUAACGGCCCACCUAGUCGACGAUCAGUAGGGGUUCUGAGAGGAAGGUCCCCCACAUUGGAACUGAGACACGGUCCAAACUCCUACGGGAGGCAGCAGUGAGGAAUAUUGGUCAAUAGGCGAGAGCCUGAACCAGCCAAGUAGCGUGCAGGAUGACGGCCCUAUGGGUUGUAAACUGCUUUUAUCGGGGGAUAAAGUCACCCACGUGUGGGUGUUUGUAGGUACCCGAUGAAUAAGGACCGGCUAAUUCCGUGCCAGCAGCCGCGGUAAUACGGAAGGUCCGGGCGUUAUCCGGAUUUAUUGGGUUUAAAGGGAGCGCAGGCCGAAGGUUAAGCGUGACGUGAAAUGUAGCCGCUCAACGGCUGAACUGCGUCGCGAACUGGCUUUCUUGAGUGAGUUCGAUGUGGGCGGAAUUCGUGGUGUAGCGGUGAAAUGCUUAGAUAUCACGAAGAACUCCGAUUGCGGAGGCAGCCCACAAGGCCUUUACUGACGCUAAAGCUCGAAGGUGCGGGUAUCGAACAGGAUUAGAUACCCUGGUAGUCCGCACGGUAAACGAUGGAUGCCCGCUGUUUGCGAUAUACUGUGAGCGGCCAAGAGAAAUCGUUAAGCA